UCCCAGGUAGCUCAGCUGGUAAAGAAUCUGCCUGCAAUGCAGGACACCCCAGUUCGAUUUCUGGGUUGGGAA
rnacentral:tRNA from 1 species